AAAAGAACACAAAUCGUGCGGGGAGCACAACGUCGUGUACGUUUUGUGGAUGUCAUUCGAAUAAGCAGCGACGCGCCUCUCUUUCUCUCUCUCUUUUUGACAAUCACACAUACGCUCACGAUUUCACUCUCAUCUGUCGCUGCCGGUGAGCAGGCAAAUUGAAAUGAAAAAUAUUUUUAAAUUGAUUUCAAACGUAAAAGACAAACGCCAGCGUACGCCACGGGAACUUGAACGCGAGACUCGCUGAAAAAUACAACAACGUAAAAUAAAAUAAAAUCUGAUCUAUUAUUUAAUGACGAGCACAAGAAAAUCAGUCAGAGUAGGCCACACCGAAUAACUCAACACAUCAUCUAGUCCCAAAAAUAUACAACAACAAAAUAAAUAGAAAAAGAAAAUAAAAGAAAAAGGAGCCAAUAAGUUGAUUGUUUUCGUUUAUGGGAUUUAUGUUGUUCGACGACGCAGUGAACCGCUAAACGAACGAUCUUGGUAUUUAAUCGUGCGUGGAAAGCGUUUAACGCGUAAAAAGAACGUUGUCUCAAAUGGAUUUUCUAUCAAAUCUCAUAAAAAGACCCAACAGCAUUGCGAUGUCUGUCCCAGAGGAGAGCAGUUCAUCGAUUGAACCCAGCACGGAGACAAGCUCGCCACAAAUCAGCCUAAUCAUGGACCGUUGCUCGAUCGAUACGGAACUGGAGAAUCUGUUUGAGUCGGCAGCCAAGGAUUUGAAUUGCUUGGAGGAACAACACAAUCACUUGAUCGAUAUCGAUACCGUCGAAAAGGAGGAGGUGAAACCUACCCUCGCUACACCCACAAAACCUUCCCCUAAGGAGACCAUACAACAGCUGCUCAGUGAGAUUAAUGUCAAUUUGGAUAGAGUUACCGCCCAUGAAAUGGAACAUUUGCAGGCAAUGAGCCUAGAGCUCAGUCCAUUGGCGGUGAAGGCAAGUCCGAGGCACAGCGUGGAGCAACAGAAGGCGCUGGUCGCGGCAAUGCGUUCCACAUCGCAGCCGGGCACACCCACAAUGCCCCCUGUUAACUAUGAUCCCUUCAAGCAACUGGAAUUGGAGCCGGGAAUUCCCAAGUUUACGGGUCUGCCCGAAUUUGAUGAGACACAAAUUCCAGAACUCGCGCCACUUAGCGUUGAAAUGGAAGCUCAAUUGAAAGCGGAAGAGCCUGUGAUGACAGUAAAGCCCAUUGAACGCGAUUACAACUCCGAUUCGGAUGUCUAUGCCGAAUGCCUUUCCCUGAACAGUGUCAAGAUGUCCGCGGAGCAGUCCGAGCUCGAGGCAUACUCGAGUGCAUUGAAUGAGGUUCUGGAACAUCAAUUGUCCAAUGUGACGGCCACAACGCUGGACAAUACAUUAAGUGAGCCGGAUACGGCGGCUCAAAGUCACAACGAUAGCUGUGAGCCUAUGGAUGUGGAUGAAAUAUGCGAGACAAUGGAAAUACUAAAGGACGUGCUUGCUCCGGAAGAUCAUCAAAUGCUACAGCAACAGUUCCUGGCCGUAGCAAUGCAGGAGGAGCACGAGCAGGAAAUUAAAAAGAAGGAUAAGGAGCUGCCGCAGCAACAGAAAGUGAAGGUUGAACUACUGGAGCAACAUAUUAAUAAAGAGCAGCAAGAGCAGGACAAGGAACCUCAACAAACCUUAGAGCAACUUAUGGUUAAAGAGCAACAGGUGAAGAGAGAGAACGAUGAGGAGCAGGUACAACUGCAGCAACAAUUGGAUACAGAACAGCAGCAGCCUGUGGAACAACAAUUGAAAAAUGAGAAACAAGAACAUAAUGAAAAUGCGACACAACUUGAGCAUAUAUUGCAUAGAUCACAGGAGCAGCUGGAAUCAGUGCAGCAACCAGCUGAAAUUCCAGUAUCUCAAGCUGAAAUCUCAGACUCGUACCUUCAGCCUUCGAUACCCAAAUUUGAGGCGACCUCACCGCCUAUACCCACACAUAGAAAGAAAACAGUCGAGGAGAUGCAGGAGCUUCUGAUCUUGCAGCAGUUUGAACAGCAGGAAGUGAAACAGCAGGAGAAACAGCAUGAAGUGGAACAGACUGUGAAGCAGGAGGAACAGCAUGAAGUGGAACAGCCUGUGAAGCAGGAGGAACAGCGGAACAACGAUUUUGAGUUGAAACCGCUUCAGCUUAAUAUGAUUGAUUCAUCAAUGGAAGGCAAUUCAGCUCCCACAUCACCAGUGUUUCCAAUUAAAUCGUCUCCAGAGAUUGCGACCCACUUUCCACGCUCUCCGCGUGCGCAUGUCGAGCAGUUGGAGAUGCCCUAUCUGGAAAAGGCGAUCAUUGAGCCAUCGGCAGAUCACAAGGUGAACUUGAGCGGAGUUAUAGCAAAGUCUCCGCUGCCCUUACAGGUUACCGUGACGCAGCCGUCUCCAGAGAAGCCACCAGAGGAACAGCAGCUUAAUGCAACAAUUCCCAUGGGCAAUAGCUCACCACUUAAUGGCACCUUCGACAGUGCGCAUGUUGAGAUCAUGGAUACGGCACGACCGUCAUCGCGUAGCACCUUUGGGGUUCCGUUAGGCGAGGCUCAGAUUUUGGGUCGUCGCACGUUUUCCUUAAACGGCACCUCAGAGCAAGUGGAGCAACCGCUGGAUGAGCAACCACUUAACGCAACUAUAUCCAUCAACGGAGGAUCGCCACAAAAUGACGGCUAUGCUAUGCCAUUGAAUGCUGUGCAGGAUAAUCAGCGUCGCACCUUUAACAUGUCAUCAGAGCUACAGAGAGAGGAACCGGGAACGGGGAAGCAACAGCAAAUGCGACGCACCUUCUGCAUGGAGCAAACACCAUCGCCGGCUAUGGAAGCCACCGAGGAGAAUAUCGUCAGUGCGGACUUUGAGCCGAUGGAUGUCGAUGUAUCGUUGCGCGCUGAGGCAUCUGUGCUGUCCACACCACUGUCUCCGCCCAUACCCACUCAUCAGCCGAAAGUAAAUACUGAAUCUCAAUCAUCCCCACCUAUACCAACACAUCAGAGUCGGGAGCAACAGCGGGAGACACACUCUCCGCCCAUACCAACACAUCAGCAGCGUCUAUCUCCACCGCUGCCCGCACAGCUUAAGCGUCCAUCUAUACAUGGAGACAUGUCCACCUCCGCUUCCGCCCUCCCGCAGUCGUCCAGCCUCAAUACCCCCGUUAUGCUCGAGGAGCAGACACUCUCAGCAAAGGAGCAACUAAGCGCCAGCGAUGAGAAGGACGAUGUGUUCGUUGAACACUUUGGUGCCAUGUCACCCAUCUCUGAUGACGUCUUCAAGGCACCGCAGCACAGCAGCAGCAGCUUCAGCAAGCUGGCAAAGGGUAAAAGUGUUGAACCAUCGAACGUUGCACCCAACGUUGAUGCCAACAACAAGCAAGAGCAAUUCUAUGAUGCAGAGUUUCAUGAUGGCGCCAGCAACAACAACAUAAUACUCAAUUCAUCAGAUUUCGAUUAUUUAUACACAAAAGGCAGCAACAAUGAGCCUAUCGAUCGAAGUUCGUUGCUAUUAAGAUUCGAUCCACUCCUGGGUACUCCGGUGCCUGUGAAUCAAUCGCAGCAGCAGCAACAACAGCAGGAGCUAACGCUGCUAAAUAUAUUGAGCAUUAACAACAACAACAAUCAAACACGUGCAUUGAGUCCCACAUUGGAGGAGCACGAGACAAGCGGCAGUAAUCAGUCGUUUGUCCUUGAACCGAGUGCCAAACCAGCAGGAGAAGGAGCAGGAAUUCAAAGAGAUCCACAAUAUAAACCGCCAGUGGAUAGAACAAAAAAGCAUGCUAAAAUGAGUGUGGACGUCAUUGAUAACGAUUGCAAUAAAACCUUCGAUAAUUCCAAUCUGAACUCGGAGGACAAGACACACAAAUACAACAAUAUGGAUGAACUGGAGAAGAAAAUAAAGAAUGAAGUAACCCGAUCUGAAGACAUUGAAAAGAAACUCAAAGAGGCCGAACAACGUGAAGAGGCGCUCGUCAAACGGAUUACAGAAAAAGACAAGAUUAACACAAAGCUCAACGGCGUCAUCGAGGCCUACGAGAAAGCCAUUGCAGAGCUAAUCCACGACAAGGAGCAACUGGUACAAAACCAUGAGAGGCAGAUGCAGGAGGUGCAAGCUGAUCGGGAUUCCAAUUAUCAUCACUUAACGUCGCUGGAAACGACAUUCUCCGAUCUGCAUGUUAAAUAUGAAAAGAGCAAAGAGAUGACGUCACAUCUGAAGCAGGAUGAGGAAAAUCUGCUGGAAGAAAAGAAAAAGCUAUUGGAGAAAUUGCGACAGCAGGAACAGCGAUAUGAGCAAAUGAAAAGCCAUGCCAUGCAACAAAUGGAAAUUGCUAACAAAAAGCUGGCGACCAUGACAAAAGAGCAUACGGAUGAGGUGAAAAAACUGAAAGCUUUACUCAAAAAGGAGGAAGUGUCGCGCAUUUCAACAGCCGAGCAGCUGCAGCAGAAAUCGCGAGAGAAUGCCGACCUUCUCAAGAUUUGCGAGGAGCUAAUCUACGACAAGGGACAAGGUGGUAGUAGUUAAACUUCACCCACUGGCAUACAUAUAUAUCUAUAUUGCGGCCUGAAUGUAUUUUCUAUAUACAAUUUAAUGCUGUAAACGCGCACACACACACACACACACACACUCACAAUCACACAUACAUAAAAAAAGAUGGCAUGUGGAACGCAUGUUUGUCGCAUGUUAUAUUCACUCAUAACGCGUACUAUCUCAUUACAUUUUGUAAUUUUUGUUGUGUGCUCUCGUGAAUUGAUUCAAAUCCACAUAUUAAAUCUCAACUUUAUUUUUAGUUGAUGUUUGCCUAGUUUAAGCACAACAAUCCCAACAACAACAACAGAAACAACAUCCAACAUACACAAAUAUGCCGAGCAGCGAAUGAGUUCCACACGCUGAGAUCCACACACGCCUUACGGGUUUUUCCCCCAAUGAUAUUAUUGCGUUGUUUUGCUUGAAAAUUUCUAAGUCAAUUUUCAAGACAAAUACUAUUAGAUGAUAUUUUCCUGCCCUCCCACUCAACACACCUACACACAAACAUACACACUUAAUUGUUUGUUGUGUUCUAUUAACUGAAGAAAUUAAUAAUACAAGAAAACUAAACAAAAAGAAUCGCGUACGCUUGAGGCGCGCCCUUUACUAAAUGUCUAAGUUUACCAUUAGUUUAAUUUAAAUUAAAAUUUUUAAUAAUUGUAUUAAGCAUAUACUUCUGUAUUACAUAAUAGUACUAAAACAACAAAAAUGAAUCAUGAAAAAAAACAUACACAAAAAA